ACUUCUAUUAGUUUGGAACAAUUGGAAAAGUCUAAAAACGAAACCCUUUAUUUUGAAAAACAAAGGGCAAUGAAUCAGGUCCGACAACGGGUUUUCCAAUAGGCCAUACAAGGAGCUCUAGGAACUCUGAAGAUUUCUGUUUUCUCUUUCUUUUCCUUUUUGUUUGUUUCGAGAAAGAUAUCGUCCAAUUCUCCUUCUAUUGAUUCUUUUCUCCUCCAAGCAGAAUGA
rnacentral:rRNA from 1 species